rnacentral:rRNA from 1 species
UACGUAGGGGGCAAGCGUUGUCCGGAUUUAUUGGGCGUAAAGAGCGUGUAGGCGGCUUUGCAAGUCCGUUGUGAAAACUCGAGGCUCAACCUCGAGACGCCGGUGGAAACUGCAAAGCUAGAGUCCGGAAGAGGAGAGUGGAAUUCCUGGUGUAGCGGUGAAAUGCGCAGAUAUCAGGAGGAACACCGGUGGCGAAGGCGGUUCUCUGGGCAUUACCUGACGCUGAGGAGCGAAAGUGUGGGGAGCGAACAGG